rnacentral:rRNA from 1 species
GUAGGGGGCAAGCGUUAUCCGGAUUUACUGGGCGUAAAGGGUGCGUAGGCGGUCUUACAAGUCAGGAGUGAAAGGCUACGGCUCAACCGUAGUAAGCUCUUGAAACUGUUAGACUUGAGUGCAGGAGAGGAGAGUGGAAUUCCUAGUGUAGCGGUGAAAUGCGUAGAUAUUAGGAGGAACACCAGUUGCGAAGGCGGCUCUCUGGACUGUAACUGACGCUGAGGCACGAAAGCGUGGGGAGCAAACAGGAUUAGAUACCCUGGUAGUCCACGCUGUAAACGAUGAGUACUAGCUGUCGGAGGUUACCCCCUUCGGUGGCGCAGCUAACGCAUUAAGUACUCCGCCUGGGAAGUACGCUCGCAAGAGUG